CAGGUUUCCAUUCAUACAGUUUCUCUGAUGCACUCUUAUUAAAUAGCAAUUACAGUAGCAAGGAGAUUGUAUAAUAGAAAAACAUACGGUAUGCAUUUCAAAUUUAAUUCUUUCAAAAUGUAAGUUCUGUGUCUUGGGCAUAACACUUUACCCCCUCCUCAAUUCAGCUUUACUAAUUUGCUCACUACAUUAAAAAAAAAAAAAAAAAACUUCCACCAAAAAUAUAGUUGUUUCUGCGUGAUAAAAUUGUAAUUUUUAAAUUUAAUAUUUUAAAAUUUUUACAGGAUUUCUGCAAUGACCAUUCUUAUUCCCUCAAUUUGGUCCUAAAGCCAAAACUUCAAGAGCUAUGUGAGAUGAGGAUGGUCUCCUCCAGAGAGAGGGGAAGCCCAGUAUGGAGUAUGGAAGCUCAAGUGAGGUGACAAGAAACAACAGAAGCAAUUGAGAGACCAGAAAGCAGGACCUCUUUGGAUGAGGAGAUAUUCUGCUGGAUGGCUUCUUAAAAGUUUCCUCUGGAAUUAUCUGCCUCAUUAAUAAUGGUUUUUGUCUUAGAAGUCUCUGUUUGAUUUUGUAAACUGAUAUGACUUAUUGUUCUGUUAUGAAUGUACACUGCUGUACCUUUAAUAAGUCCAUUGCACAUUUUCACCAUGUAAUCUAUAGGCAUUUUUUCUGCAGUGUUAGCAACGUCACCUUGUCACUAUUAUCACAAUCACCUUGAUUUGGAA
rnacentral:lncRNA from 10 species